GCCAGACUCCUACGGGAGGCAGCAGUGGGGAAUAUUGCACAAUGGGGGGAACCCUGAUGCAGCGACGCCGCGUGGGUGAAGGAGCACCUCGGUGCGUAAAGCCCUAUCGGCAGGGAAGAAAAGCGAACAGGUUCGCCUGGACGGUACCUGACUAAGAAGCCCCGGCUAACUACGUGCCAGCAGCCGCGGGAAUACGUAGGGGGGAAGCGUUCUCCGGGUUCACUGGGUGUAAAGGGAGCGUAGACGGCGACGCAAGUCUGGAGUGGAAGCCCGGGGGCCAACCCCGGGGCUGCUCUGGAAACUGCGUCGCUGGAGUGCGGGAGGGGGAGGCGGAAUUCCUAGUGUAGCGGUGAAAUGCGUAGAUAUUAGGAGGAACACCAGUGGCGAAGGCGGCCUACUGGGCGGUGACUGACGCUGAGGGUCGAAAGCGUGGGGAGCAAACAGGAUUAGAUACCCCCGUAUA
rnacentral:rRNA from 1 species